UCCAGAGGAGAAGCUCCCAGAGAACCAUCAGGAUGAAAAUCUGAUGGAUAUUAAGGCUGAGGUUAAAGAUGAAGCAGAAGAGGAGACGGAUUUAUGGGGCAAUCAGCAGGAUGGACUCCUAGAAGGAAACCCCCCCGAGAGAUGUCCCCGUCCUCUGUAUUCCCAGGACUGUCCAGAGGAGAAGCUCCCAGAGAACCAUCAGGUAGAUGGGGCUGAGCCCAAUACACAUCUGUAUAGGGGGGUCCUGCAGUCAUAUAGGGGUCAUAGAUGGUGGGGGUCUCUUAUGUGGAUCUGUUAGAUUUCCCACCUGUCUGCUGUAUUGUCCUGAA